ACAAUGGACAAAGAUAAGUUAACUGAGCCCAUUUUCUGAAUCACUUUUCUGUCUUCUUCAUGACUAGACCAUGUCAUAUGCCUUGUUUAAAUAUAUAGGUUAAGUCUGUAAACUUAACUAUGCUGGUUGCUGGUGAAAAGAUUAGAUGGCCAAGGUUUGGGAUGUGGGAUUUAAAAUAUACUAUAAUUAGGCUAGAUUAGGUAUUUUGGAUUUAUGUAGCCUAUGCCUGGUUUUACAUUUAUUAUGUCCUUAUUGUCCUCUUAAUUUCCUAGUGUACUGCACAGAUAUGUUAAUUCACUACUCACGCUGAAUGUAAGGUCACAGUGUCUCACUUUUGUUUGUAGUUGAUUGCUUAUCACCUAUUCAAGACUUCAUUUCUAUUUACCAUGUGUAUUUGAUGAUUUGUCCUCAGUAAGUCCCUACAAAAGAAUACUGAUCAUGUUUUCUUUUCUCUCUAACAGCUGCUCAGUAAUUUCACAAGAUGUAAUCAGGCAGAAUGCACACUGAAGACCAUAUGAAGAACAACUUAAGCCUCUUUCUCUCUUACACACAAUACACGUGCUGAUUCCAAUGGAAGAUAUGUAGUUAAAUCCUCUGUACUCUUUGGAUAUUUUGAGGCUUGGGCAAUUGUUGAGCUUUGCUGCAGACUAAAAAACUUUGAACCACUUCAAAUGGAAAGAAAAAUACCAUAAUUCUACCCAAACCAUACCUUGAUGGCUCUGGCUUUCUUAAGGAAGAGUCCCUGGGAACCAGCUGAGAUGAAGUACAGUGACUGGGUAUGACCACUGCUACAGAAUAAAGAACAAGCAAGAAUUAAGUUUUAACCUGGAAGUUAUUGAUCAUACAAUUUGUGGACCUUAAACUGUUUCAGUAUUUUAAAUUUAAUAUGUCACCUCAAGUCCUCAGAACAGGAUUUUCCUGGAAGCUAGUGCUCAACAGUAUGCUAGCACUGGUGCAGUUAUAAGAAUUUCUCAUACUGGAAGAUGAUGGCUUACUGUGAAGCAUUGUUUACCAAGGCUGUUGUUCUAAACUGUGAACCCAAAGAGAAGAGGAGAAAAAAAGGCAUCAGUAAAACUUGUCAAAUGGUUUUAUAAGCUGUCUAAGCAGACAUAGAAUAAAAGAGUAAAGCCAUGGAACUUCCAAUAGGACAGCAAAAAAAAGGCUUUUGUCCCCAACUCAAACCUGAGGACACCAAGCUGAGUGGUGUGGUUGAUACACUUGAGGGAUGGAAUUCAAGAGGGACCUAGGAGGUUAUUACUGGUUUCAUAAUACCAGGUAUUUUUGGGAGACCAAUGCAAAAUGUAACCCAUGUGAAGGCGUUCAUCUGUCUUCUCCAUGGUGACCAGCAUGACAACUGCACCAUGCUAUGGCAGAAGGAAUGAGCUCCUCACUACCUGCCUCCCUCUCUUCCAUGUACCCAUGGCACAAAUGGUAAAAAGGAACAGAGGACAUACUGGCUUUUGUUUUCAGUGCCAGUUUACUCAAUCUGACAUUCAAUACCUAAUAUAUAUUAGUAGGAUUCAAAGACUGGACUUUCACCAGUGCUGUGGCUGUUAUCAUGUCUUUUCUGAAGCUGCUCCUCCUUCUCCUUUAACAGGUUUCUUCUGUAAACGAGGAGAAAAGGCAAAUUGCCUUUGGAAUGGUGCAAACCAUAAGGUCU